CCUACGGGAGGCAGCAGUGAGGAAUAUUGGUCAAUGGCCGAGAGUCUGAACCAGCCAAGUCGCGUGAAGGAUGACUGCCCUAUGGGUUGUAAACCUCUUUUAUAUGGGAAUAAAACGUUCCACGUGUGGGAUUUUGUCUGUACCAUAUGAAUAAGGAUCGGCUAACUCCGUGCCAGCAGCCGCGGUAAUACGGAGGAUCCGAGCGUUAUCCGGAUUUAUUGGGUUUAAAGGGUGCGUAGGUGGAUUGUUAAGUCAGGUGUGAAAGUUUGGGGCUCAACCGUAGAAUUGCAGUUGAAACUGGCAGUCUUGAGUACAGAAGAGGUAGGCGGAAUUCGUGGAGUAGCGGUGAAAUGCUUAGAUAUCACGAAGAACUCCGAUAGCGAAGGCAGCUCACCGGACUGCAACUGACACUGAGGCACGAGAGCGUGGGUAUCGAACAGGAUUAGAUACCCGUGUAGUC
rnacentral:rRNA from 1 species